rnacentral:tRNA from 1 species
GCCCUGCGCUGGGCGACGGAGGGCUCCGCCGCCUGCCUCGGGCGCAAGGACAUCGGCCGGAUCGAGCCCGGCCGCGAGGCG